AGAGUUUGAUCCUGGCUCAGGACGAACGCUGGCGGCGUGCUUAACACAUGCAAGUCGUACGAGACGAUUGAAAGCUUGCUUUUGAAAGUCGAGUGGCAAGCGGGUGAGUAACGCGUAGACAACCUGCCGUAAAGAUGGGGACAACAGUCCGAAAGGACUGCUAAUACCGAAUGUUGUGGAACUCCCGCAUGGGAGCUCCACUAAAGAUGGCCUCUACUUGUAAGCUAUCGCUUUACGAUGGGUCUGCGUCUGAUUAGCUAGUUGGUGGGGUAACGGCCUACCAAGGCGACGAUCAGUAGCCGGNCUGANAGGAUGAACGGCCACAUUGGAACUGAGACACGGUCCAGANUCCUACGGGANGGCAGCAGUGGGGGAACUUCCGCAAUGGGNGCAGNCUGACGNACNACNCCNNGU
rnacentral:rRNA from 1 species